ACUCCUACGGGAGGCAGCAGUAGGGAAUCUUCGGCAAUGGGGGCAACCCUGACCGAGCAACGCCGCGUGAGUGAAGAAGGUUUUCGGAUCGUAAAGCUCUGUUGUAAGAGAAGAACGAGUGUGAGAGUGGAAAGUUCACACUGUGACGGUAACUUACCAGAAAGGGACGGCUAACUACGUGCCAGCAGCCGCGGUAAUACGUAGGUCCCGAGCGUUAUCCGGAUUUAUUGGGGCGUAAAGCGAGCGCAGGCGGUUAGAUAAGUCUGAAGUUAAAGGCUGUGGCUUAACCAUAGUACGCUUUGGAAACUGUUUAACUUGAGUGCAGAAGGGGAGAGUGGAAUUCCAUGUGUAGCGGUGAAAUGCGUAGAUAUAUGGAGGAACACCGGUGGCGAAAGCGGCUCUCUGGUCUGUAACUGACGCUGAGGCUCGAAAGCGUGGGGAGCAAACAGGAUUAGAUACCCUGGUAGCGACUGA
rnacentral:rRNA from 1 species